UAGAGUUUGAUCCUGGCUCAGAACGAACGCUGGCGGCGUGCCUAACACAUGCAAGUCGAACGAGAAAGGGGCUUCGGCCCUGAGUAAAGUGGCGCACGGGUGAGUAACACGUGGGUAACCUGCCUCUAAGAUUGGGAUAACCUGUCGAAAGACGAGCUAAUACCGAAUAAGACCACAGCUUCUUCGGAAGCAGGGGUCAAAGGUAGCCUCUACUUGUAAGCUAUCACUUAGAGAUGGGCCUGCGUACCAUUAGCUAGUUGGUGGGGUAAUGGCCUACCAAGGCAAAGAUGGUUAGCUGGUCUGAGAGGAUGAUCAGCCACACUGGAACUGAGACACGGUCCAGACUCCUACGGGAGGCAGCAGUGGGGAAUAUUGCGCAAUGGGCGAAAGCCUGACGCAGCAACGCCGCGUGAGUGAUGAAGGCCUUCGGGUCGUAAAGCUCUGUCGGAGGGAACGAAUGCUUCCGAGGUUAACCGCCUCGGGAAGUGACGGUACCCUCAAAGGAAGCACCGGCUAACUCUGUGCCAGCAGCCCCGGUCAA
rnacentral:rRNA from 1 species